AUCCCCCUGCCUUGUGCGAUUAAAUGCUGCCUAUAUGUAACCCAACACGUUUUAAAAGGGAGCUUUGCUCCGGUGUGAGGAUUGCAGACCUCCCGCCUUUUGGCGGACGAAGGGAGCGAGAGACCUCCGGGAGGCACCCACCUGCUGAAGAGCAGGUUACAAUCGGCUGCAUACGGCUUGGCGGGGAUUCA
rnacentral:other from 1 species